rnacentral:misc_RNA from 1 species
GGCCGCUUGAAAUGCAGGUGCAGCUGGAAAUUCUUCUGGGCUAAAAGCAUAUCUAUUUAGUCCCUUCAAACGGAUUAUUACUUUUGCUUUAGCUAAUAUAAAGAUCGAAUGAACAACCAACGCUGAUUGCAGGAAAACUCGUUCUUAAUCGAACUUGUGAACUCGAUCUCAAAUCAAGUAAGACUACCCGCUGAACUUAA